ACAUGCAAGUCGAACGGUGAAGCAGAGCUUGCUCUGUGGAUCAGUGGCGAACGGGUGAGUAACACGUGAGCAACCUGCCCCUGACUCUGGGAUAAGCGCUGGAAACGGCGUCUAAUACUGGAUAUGAGCUGCGAUCGCAUGGUCAGCAGUUGGAAAGAUUUUUCGGUCUGGGAUGGGCUCACGGCCUAUCAGCUUGUUGGUGAGGUAAUGGCUCACCAAGGCGUCAACGGGUAGCCGGCCUGAGAGGGUGACCGGCCACACUGGGACUGAGACACGGCCCAGACUCCUACGGGAGGCAGCAGUGGGGAAUAUUGCACAAUGGGCGAAAGCCUGAUGCAGCAACGCCGCGUGAGGGAUGACAGCCUUCGGGUUGUAAACCUCUUUUAGCAGGGAAGAAGCGAAAGUGACGGUACCUGCGGAAAAAGCGCCGGCUAACUACGUGCCAGCAGCCGCGGUAAUACGUAGGGCGCAAGCGUUAUCCGGAAUUAUUGGGCGUAAAGAGCUCGUAGGCGGUUUGUCGCGUCUGCUGUGAAAUCCCGAGGCUCAACCUCGGGUCUGCAGUGGGUACGGGCAGACUAGAGUGCGGUAGGGGAGAUUGGAAUUCCUGGUGUAGCGGUGGAAUGCGCAGAUAUCAGGAGGAACACCGAUGGCGAAGGCAGGUCUCUGGGC
rnacentral:rRNA from 1 species